GAGAGAGAGUAAUUUUAAUUACGAUGGAUCGCCUUCUCCACGCGCGUUGCAAGGGCCAGUAGGAGGAGGAUGUGCAAGCGGCCGGAGUAGCGGUGGUGACCACUCGAGGAUGCGAUGGCGCCGUCGUCGACCUCGUAUCCUCCGUUGAGUUCUGCAUCGACCGAACGUGUCCCUCAGGCCUAGAUGCAAGUGAUCUGUUCGUGGAGGUGGACUUUAUGGUCCUCUUGAAAGCUGUUUAUGACUUGUGCUUAUAUCUUUCUAGCAGCUGAGGGUGGGAAGUGUAAGGGGUCUGGGUUUUUCGAUUUGACUUACAAGAUUCAGCAAAUUAUGUGAUUGAAAAACGGCAUGGCUCUUUCUCCGAGUAAAAAUUGUAAGAAGCAAUAAUAAGCCAAACGGACUUCCAUUUGAUUGACGAAAAAGCAUACCGAUGGUGAUGCGAUACCCCCAGAUGAAAGUCUUCUUGCAAAGCUAUGCCAACACCAUGAACUUUUCUCUUGUUCUUGACAUCCUUAUUUGUUUUUUACUUUUCCUUUUCAUGUUUUUAGUGGGUUAGUGACCAUAAUUAUUGACUGAACAAAUAUAUGGAUUCUUAAUGCAAGUACUGUAACCCUUGAGAACUAACUAGCUGGAAUGAAGCAAUAUUUGGCAUCAUUAACAUGAAUGCUUUGUUGGAUCCAGUAUAUGGAAGAUAACUGACGGCCAUAGGAAGACCUUUUCCAUAAUUCAGUUACACUGAGAAGUGCUUCCUCUGUCUUGCACGUUCAUGCUAGAUGUUAUAUAUAAUGAACUUAAAUCUCUUAAGGACAAUGAGCAUGUAAUUUGUACUCAGUUACUGGACGUUGUUGAAUUAUCAUACGCCACUCUGCAAUUCCUUCCAUUAUAUUUGAAAAAUGCCUGCAUCUACCACUUUGGAGCAUGGUUUACCUGUUUGAACUCACUGGUGUCUGCUACUAAUCCAUAGGUUCUGUUAUUGUGUCACUACUAGCCUUCUGUAAUUUUUUUUAUUAUACAUUGGUUGACAAGUAGGAACAAAACUGUUUGGUUCUUAAAUUUAUCAAUAAGAGAUUGGACCAGUGCACAUAUGUUUUGUUUUCACUUUCCUUUUCUCAUUUUGCUGUAUGGUCUGUGGACCCUUUAAACAUAAGGGCAAGAGAGACUUCCUUUUGCAACGACCAUGGGAUGUAGACAUAAAAGUGCCAAAUUUAGGCAGUAUUGAAACCUGACAUCUUUUAUUUGAUAAAGUUUAUGAUUGAUAGGUCAUGCUCAUUAGGUACAUUAGAAGCGUAAUGAGUUAAUUUUUUAAGACAAUGCUCUUAUAUUUUUCAUCCCAUACUGAAUUCAAUGGUUCCGUUAUUUUUGUGAACUGCUUCUAUUUUUUUCCACCUUAUUAUCUUAUAGUUGAUUUGUGAACCUGUGUAUUAUGAUCAUCAUAUGAUAGUCUAAAACAUAAAAAAAAUCAGCAUAUAUGGAAAUGAUGUGAUAUUAUGACUUGUAACUUGUUUUCCCAUCCUUGGGCACACUAACCAACUUUGAAAAUCUCAAAUGCAGUUUGAAUGUAAAUUUUGUUGGUUUUAGGCAUCUCGAUUUCUAUUUGGGGCUUGGGAUAACUGUCCUUAAACUCAUGAGUUUUGGUUGUGGGCUGUGAAAACAUUUGUAAUCAAUUCUCUUGUGAUCGCUGUUUUCAGAUUAAUGCUAUAGGUAUCCCCUGGUGAAUUAAAUGAUAAUGACACUGAAGUCUCUGUUGAGCUGAGACCUCUUCUAGUGGAAUCAUGUUAAAGAAACACAUGCUUACAUAGCCAUGAACACCUGAUCAUCAAUGGCCGUCUUACUAUUAUUAACCCUAGACUAGUGUGAGAACUGCCACAAGCACAGGAUUAUGUUUGUCAGGUGAACACCGAUACCUGCAUACUGUAAUAAGAUUGACAUCAUUGUCGAAAUUAUUAUUAGGCUAAGGGUUUACAUAACCCAUGAACAGGGAGGUAAAAACAGUUUAGUUAAAUAAAUUUCAUUUACAAUCAUGGCAUCUUACGAUGCUUCGUAUCAUGUUUAGAUGGAUUGCAAGUCAUGGUGACAUUUGGUCGUUGGCCACAACUCGCAGACCAUGUAUAUCUAGAAUGACGGCAAUUAUCUCAGAGUUUGCGGUUUCAAGAAAGGCCACAAGGUUAAGAAUCGAAGGGAGGCACUGUGAGUUUGCUGUUUGAUGACAUAAAUUCCUCAAAUUCUUGUAGAUUUGUGUCUGUUGGAAGCCGAAUCCUUGAAUUUGUGGAGCAUAUAAGACCAUUCCUGGGCUGGCAAAUUAGACCUGUGCAUUUUGUCUCCCAAAAAAAAAAAAAAAAGAUUAAUCCAGACCAUAUUUUUGUAAAAUCUGUUUUGCGAAAGAAGAAAAAAAAUCACUUGGUCAGAAAUAUAUUUUGCAAAAGGAAAAGGGGAAAUGGAGGAAGCCUACCUACAUUGGAAGAUUGAACCUCUUUAUUCAUGCCCCGACAAGAAUGCUUGCAAAGGAAAGACAAACUACUACUGCUCUCCUAUGUGUGCAUCAUCAAUAGCGCUUCAGCGUUCUGUUACUUUUUUUUAUUUUUUGCUUGUUUUCCUUCUCUCUUUUCUGCGUCCUCGAUGGAUUGCUCGAGAAAGAGAAGACAUGGAUGCAUGACAACUCUGGGAAAUCGCUCUGACUUUUGUGUGUUUUCCUCUCUUAUUCUUCUCUCUUUUCUUGACAGGGAACCACGCUGCCUUGGACCCCGGCACCGACAGCGACGGGAAGGCCGGAGGCAGACGGGGACGGUGUGGUCGCCAUCAUCAACCCGUGGUGUGGGAAGCGAGGCGGAGGAGGAGGAGGAGCUGCCUGCCUGCCUUGUGCAUGCCCCCCUAUCUCUUUUCUCUCUCUCUCUCUCUCUCUCUCACAGCCCCACCCAGGACAACAAGCAUGGGACGCCGAGCCCGGGCAGCUCCCAAUCAUAAAGCAAUGGAGUGCCAUAUCAUUUCCUCCCCACCUCGGUCCUCGCGCUCCUGCUCUGGACCCCCCCCCCCCCCCCCCCCACUCCCCCGAGGGAUGGGCUGACCUGAGCCUACUGUUCCCUCUCGCGCUCCUCAUGCGUCCCUUUCCAUGCUGUUUCUUUUCGUCCCCACCCCCCUUACUCUCUUAAUCUCCUUAAUUUUGGAUUUCUCUUUGGUUUUGCUGCAUUGGCAUAUGAAAUCCUUCACGUCCAUGUUUGUUUGAUGCGGUCCACUUGAAAGCCCUUCGGAUGUAGUGUUCCGACUUCCACGUCUUCAGCUUGAGAGCCAAUUCAUUUCUUCUUCGCCUUGUAACAUUCUGUACGUGAACCACUAGUGCCACCCGCCCCCUACUCCCGACUGACAGAAAAUAAUAAUAAUAAUAAAUAAUAUGUUGGGGGAUUUUGUUUCCAGGACAAAUCACAAUCGAGGUUUCAAUUCUUCCAUGCAAUGAAUAGGAGGAGUCUGAAUCACCGCAGAGGUGCAGGAACCAAAGCCUUGCGUUCCCAAAACGCAGCUGCACCGGAGAGGGAAAUGGUCAACGAGCCUUCUCUGACCUCUGUUACACCAUUUUGACGAGGACAUCACCUACACUAUGGAUAGGCCACCAUGCCCCGUGUUGACCAAGGAGCCUCCCAACGUUGACUCGGGCCCACCACACAGAAUAAGAGAGAGAGAGAGAGAGAGCACAGUGGUCUAUGGAGGGGAGUCAUGGGGAAGAGCUACAGCACGGCAAAGGACUGGUGAAUGCAAGGGAUCGAAGAGGGGUCACCUCAAUGGGCCCCCCCCCCCCUCGGGCCGACAGGCUCUGAUGCAUCCCUCCAUAGCGUCAACACCAAGGACGGGCGGACGGACUGGACUGGACUGGACUGGACUGACCACACGCUGCUGUCGCUCUCACCCUCUCUUCCUCGUCUUUGCCGCCAGCGAAGAAAGAGGGGGAGAAGCAUGAGAAGCCGAGAGUGAAAAAAAAAAAAAAAGGCAGGAGGUUUGGAACCUUACGAGCGAACGCAGAUAUCAUCAUGUGACAAUCAUUCUUUUAUAAUUUGAGCUCUACAGGUCCGGGAGGGAAGUAAAAGAAAAGGUUUUGCUUUUCUUUUGAGGCCACCAGCAGGAGUGUCAGUAAAAGAAAAGAAGAGAGAGAGAGAGAGAGAGAAAUAAUCUCAAGUCUUAAAAGCUAUACAAAUGCUGAUGUACGAUGACCUCUGAAAAGAGGUCUUUUAUCAUCCACCUGCUCUCCUCCUAAAGGAACAAAAGGUGGCUCAGGCUACUACUGUAAGAUGUCAUGUAUCCACCAUAUAUGUGUAGAGGUGAGACCACUGGGACGCAAUUUGAUUACAGAAGGAGCUGCAUAUAUCAUUAGUUUAUUGCUUCUAACAUCAUCACCCGAGUCGAUGAUGGGUGGAUCAUGUACAAGUACAGAGUUGCCUGUUGGACCAUGUAAGCUGGCCUCAACAAAACAAAUCGUGCAUGCAUGCAUGCAUGCAGUGGUCGUACAGUAACAGUCUAAAAGAAGACAAAGAAUCCAUAAAACAUCCUUCUGUUUUUAUGUUUGUAGUUUAGCAACUUGGAAGCCAUGACAUGGGAAUUAGCAUCUUGUGACUCGCACAGCAAAGCGUUUUGUACGAUUGCUUCUCUGUAGGAUUUGAUGCAGCUGCAGAAAGUAAUUUGUUCUCUAUGUAUGUAUGUAUGUAUGUAUGUAUGUAUUCGAGUAAUGAAUGAUGAUCAC